ensembl:lncRNA
CUUUUUGGUCACCUGACUUCCUGUUGGUGUUGCUGAGAUUAGUUGCGGGUUACUUUUCUGAAGCCUCCAUCGCAGCUGAUGCGGAGUGCUGACGUGGAGGAGACUAGGGUGCCUUGGUGGUGGGAUCCUCUGAGUGUACACACCUGCCUUGUUUAAUUUAUUAGUAUGCGGAGUGCUGACGUGGAGGAGACUAGGGUGCCUUGGUGGUGGGAUCCUCUGAGUGUACACACCUGCCUUGUUUAAUUUAUUAGUGUGAGUGUGCUGCACUUGUGUCUUGGUGUAUUUUCUUUUUUUGAGUUUGUGUGUGGCAUCCCUGCCCUCCACUGGUAAGCCUCAGCUCUGAAUACCUUUUUUUGCAUACUUUUACAUUGAUAUUUAUCACUGUG